CCCGGUGACGUUGCCGGAGGGGCCACACCCGUUCCCAUCCCGAACACGGAAGUUAAGCCCUCCAGGGCCGAUGGUACUGCGCUGGCAACGGCGUGGGAGAGUAGGUCGUCGCCGGGG
rnacentral:rRNA from 1 species